rnacentral:rRNA from 1 species
UACGUAAGAUCCAAGCGUUAUCCGGAAUUACUGGGCGUAAAGCGUGCGCAGACGGUUUGAUAGGUCUUAUGCGAAAUCCCAUGGCUCAACCAUGUGGACUGUAUUAGAAACCAUCUGACUAGAGGUAGGUAGAGGCAAGUGGAAUUUCUGGUGUAGGGGUGACAUCCGUAGAUAUCAGAAGGAACACCAAUGGCGAAGGCAGCUUGCCUGGGCCUUACCUGACGUUCAGGCACGAAAGCGUGGGGAGCAAACAGG